GCCAGGUGUGGUGGCACAUGCCUUUAGUUCCAGCUACUGGGGAGGCUGAGACUGGUAGAUUUCUUGCACUCCAGAGUUCUGAGCAGUAUUGGGUUAUACCUAUUGGGUGUCUGCACUAAGAUUGGAAUCAAUACGGUGCGUCUUGAGGGGCAGGGAGACUAGUUUGUCUAAGGAGGGGAGAACUAGCCCAGGUGGGAAACACAGCAGGUCCGAGCUCAUUGACAAUCAGUAUGAUCAGGCCAUGAGUGGCUCCUGUACUGGCCUGGGUCAGAUGGGGAGAAUCAGUCUUC
rnacentral:SRP_RNA from 1 species